AGGAGGUGAAGGAACCCGUCAGCGCUGUCGAUUGUUGCACUGCAGAGAAAUCAUCGUUAAGUCCAGCCACGAGACUAGUGGGCGGUCCCAGGUGUUUACCUGUCAGGUUGUUGACACCUUGUGAGGCAUGUGACUCAUGGACACACCCCUCGAUCCAGUGGGCCAUUAAGGUCACCUGAAUGAAUGUGUGGAUGGGGCUCAUUAGGGACACCUGUGGCUCGUUAAGGACACCUGUGGCUCGUUAAGGACACCUGUGGCUCGUUAAGGACACCUGUGGCUCGUUGACUCGCCCUGCUCUGAUACGGCAUGAAGGCAUUUUCAAGAAUUUCAAUGUAUGUUUAAAUAUGUAAGAAGAGUUUAAAACUCACAUUAUCAACAGAAUGUGAAGAAAUAACUGUUUUCAUGUCAGCCAGCUUUGACUAUGCUGUCUCAUAAUACCACUCUGUGCAUCAGUAUCAUAGCAUAGCAUCUUUAUUGCAUCAAUACGUUUUUCAGACAACUGCGGUUUAAAUUCCUCAUGUACUGAUAAAUUACUAAAAUCUCUACAUCCGACUGGUCAGUAAAAAUCAACCUGAAGAGACAAAAAAGAAAAAUAUAAGACGGGCACUGAAGCUCAUUUGUUUUGUGUGGACUGUCCCUUUAUUAAAAAGUUAUGAGAGUAGCCAGGCACUGAACGUUCACAUUUACAAUGAACUCAAACACAGCAAUGGGAUGGGGGGGGCUUGUUUCUUUUGUCCAAUCAAUGUGAAGAUGAAAACAUAAUAAAGAGUUACGAAUAAAAACAUGUCAUCACUGUCAAAGUGCUGUUUGUGUUUUGUGUAUUAUUAUUAAUAUUAUCCCAAAUACAGACGGUGAAUAUAUUUGGAUUCGUUUUAAUGUGACUGUUGAGAUGAUAAAGUUUAUUUUUGCUCACAUUAGCAUCCAGGCUACGUGCUGCCACCAGCCAUCAUGUGUUUAAACCUGAACAGUUCACUAAAGAAACCGGUGACGAGUCUUUUAAAGAAACAGGUGACGAGUCUUUUAAAGAAACUGGUGACGAGUCUUUUAAAGAAACAGGUGACGA